rnacentral:rRNA from 1 species
GUAGGGAAUAUUGGACAAUGGGCGAAAGCCUGAUCCAGCCAUGCCGCGUGAUAGAUGAAGGCCCUCUGGGUUGUAAAUAUCUUUUAUCUGGGAAGAAACUCCUCUAUUCUUAGAGGCCUGACGGUACCAGAGGAAUAAGCACCGGCUAACUCCGUGCCAGCAGCCGCGGUAAUACGGAGGGUGCAAGCGUUAUCCGGAUUCACUGGGUUUAAAGGGUGCGUAGGCGGGUUGAUAAGUCAGUGGUGAAAGCUCCGGGCUUAACUUGGAAACUGCCAUUGUUACUGUCAGUCUUGAAUGUCGUAGAGGUAAGCGGAAUGUUGCAUGUAGCGGUGAAAUGCUUAGAUAUGUUACAGAACACCAAUUGCGAAGGCAGCUUACUAUGCGAUAAUUGACGCUGAGGCACGAAAGCGUGGGGAGCAAACAGGAUUAGAUACCCCGGUAGUCC